rnacentral:rRNA from 1 species
CCUGCGGAAGGAUCAUUGUCGAAAUCGAACGGAAGAACGACCCGCGAAUCGUCAUUGCGUACUAGACAGAGCCCGUGAGCACCUAACGCUCAUGGGACUCGCGUCGCGUCGGCGUGGGUGUACUCGAGACCAGCGUCGUACCGGCGGACAAACAACGUCAGCACGGAUCGUGCCAAGGAGCUGCAUGGAGAGAAUCGUCGUCCCACGCCUUUGAUAGUCCUCGAUGCGGGACGGGGGGCGGGGGAUGUACGCAAUCUCUACUCAAGUCUAAACGACUCUCGGCAACGGAUAUCUCGGCUCUUGCAUCGAUGAAGAACGUAGCGAAAUGCGAUACUUGGUGUGAAUUGCAGAAUCCCGCGAACCAUCAAUUCUUUGAACGCAAGUUGCGCCCGAAGCCAUUCGGCCGAGGGCACGCCUGCCUGGGUGUCGUGAAUCCCCUUGCCCCUAGGCACCCGCAUGAGCAUUGGCGGGGAUAUAUGCUCGGGCGCAGAAUAUGGUCUCCCGUGGGAUCGGCAUGCACGGCAUGUCGAGGUGCGGUUGGCCGAAAAUCGAGCAAUGGCUGUGACGGGCACCACGGCGUUCGGUGGAUCGAAUGAGAUUGGCUGCGCCGUGGGCUCGGCAUUAGGCGGGCUCCGGACUUUGAGU